GUUAUAUGGUCAAGCAAUUAAGCGCAUACGGUGGAUGCCUAGGCAGUUAGAGGCGAUGAAGGACGUAGAAACCUGCGAUAAGGUUCGGGGAGCUGGUAAACAGGCUUUGAUCCGAACAUUUCCGAAUGGGGAAACCCACCCAGUGUAAGCUGGGUAUCGUUAAGUGAAUACAUAGCUUAACGAGGCGAACCCGGGGAACUGAAACAUCUAAGUACCCGGAGGAAAAGAAAUCAACCGAGAUUCCGAAAGUAGCGGCGAGCGAAAUCGGAUUAGCCCUUAAGCUUUUGUGUGGUUAGUGGAACGCUCUGGGAAGUGCGGCCAUAGUGGGUGAUAGCCCCGUACACGAAAACCUAACUUAAGUGAAAUCGAGUAGGGCGGGACACGUGAAAUCCUGUCUGAACAUGGGGGGACCAUCCUCCAAGGCUAAAUACUACUAACUGACCGAUAGUGAACCAGUACCGUGAGGGAAAGGCGAAAAGAACCCCUGUGAGGGGAGUGAAAUAGAUCCUGAAACCGUAUGCGUACAAGCAGUGGGAGCAGACUUGUUCUGUGACUGCGUACCUUUUGUAUAAUGGGUCAGCGACUUAUUCUCAGUGGCGAGCUUAACCGUCUAGGGGAGGCGUAGGGAAACCGAGUCUUAAUAGGGCGAAUUAGUCGCUGGGAAUAGACCCGAAACCGGGCGAUCUAUCCAUGGGCAGGUUGAAGGUUGGGUAACACUAACUGGAGGACCGAACCGACUACCGUUGAAAAGUUAGCGGAUGACCUGUGGAUCGGAGUGAAAGGCUAAUCAAGCUCGGAGAUAGCUGGUUCUCCUCGAAAGCUAUUUAGGUAGCGCCUCGAGCGAAUACCAUUGGGGGUAGAGCACUGUUAAGGCUAGGGGGUCAUCCCGACUUACCAACCCUUUGCAAACUCCGAAUACCAAUGAGUACUACUCGGGAGACACACGGCGGGUGCUAACGUCCGUCGUGAAAAGGGAAACAACCCAGACCGCCAGCUAAGGCCCCAAAAUCAUAGUUAAGUGGGAAACGAUGUGGGAAGGCUAAAACAGCUAGGAGGUUGGCUUAGAAGCAGCCACCCUUUAAAGAAAGCGUAAUAGCUCACUAGUCGAGUCGGCCUGCGCGGAAGAUGUAACGGGGCUAAAACUAUGUGCCGAAGCUGCGGGAUUGUGCCAUGCACAAUCGGUAGAGGAGCGUUCUGUAAGCCGAUGAAGGUCAAUUGAGAAGUUGGCUGGAGGUAUCAGAAGUGCGAAUGCUGACAUAAGUAACGACAAUGGGAGUGAAAAACUCCCACGCCGGAAGACCAAGGUUUCCUGCGCAACGUUAAUCGGCGCAGGGUGAGUCGGCCCCUAAGGCGAGGCAGAAAUGCGUAGUCGAUGGGAAAUUGGUUAAUAUUCCAAUACCUCUUUAGAGUGCGAUGGGGGGACGGAGAAGGCUAGGCCAGCGCGGCGUUGGUUGUCCGCGUUUAAGCCGGUAGGCUUGCAUCUUAGGAAAAUCCGGGAUGCUCUAUGCCGAGACGUGACGACGAAGGUUCUACGGAACCGAAGUGGUUGAUGCCAUGCUUCCAGGAAAAGCCUCUAAGCUUCAGCUCUAAAGAGACCGUACCCCAAACCGACACAGGUGGUCAGGUAGAGAAUACUAAGGCGCUUGAGAGAACUCGGGUGAAGGAACUAGGCAAAAUGGCACCGUAACUUCGGGAGAAGGUGCGCCGCUGAAGGUGAAGGACUUGCUCCGUAAGCCCUCGGCGGUCGAAGAUACCAGGUGGCUGCGACUGUUUAUUAAAAACACAGCACUGUGCAAACACGUAAGUGGACGUAUACGGUGUGACGCCUGCCCGGUGCUGGAAGGUUAAUUGAUGGGGUUAGCGUAAGCGAAGCUCUUGAUCGAAGCCCCAGUAAACGGCGGCCGUAACUAUAACGGUCCUAAGGUAGCGAAAUUCCUUGUCGGGUAAGUUCCGACCUGCACGAAUGGCGUAACGAUGGCCACGCUGUCUCCACCCGAGACUCAGUGAAAUUGAAAUCGCAGUGAAGAUGCUGUGUAUCCGCGGCUAGACGGAAAGACCCCGUGAACCUUUACUAUAGCUUCACAGUGGACUUUGAUAUUACUUGUGUAGGAUAGCUGGGAGGCUUUGAAACUCGGACGCCAGUUCGUGUGGAGCCAAUCUUGAAAUACCAGCCUGGUAAUAUUGAGGUUCUAACUCUGAUCCAUUAUCUGGAUCGAGGACAUUGUGUGGUGGGUAGUUUGACUGGGGCGGUCUCCUCCCAAAGAGUAACGGAGGAGCACGAAGGUACCCUCAGCACGGUCGGACAUCGUGCAAUGAGUGCAAUCGCAGAAGGGUGCUUAACUGUGAGACUGACACGUCGAACAGAUACGAAAGUAGGUGAUAGUGAUCCGGUGGUUCUGUAUGGAAGGGCCAUCGCUCAACGGAUAAAAGGUACUCCGGGGAUAACAGGCUGAUACCGCCCAAGAGUUCACAUCGACGGCGGUGUUUGGCACCUCGAUGUCGGCUCAUCACAUCCUGGGGCUGAAGCCGGUCCCAAGGGUAUGGCUGUUCGCCAUUUAAAGUGGUACGCGAGCUGGGUUUAGAACGUCGUGAGACAGUUCGGUCCCUAUCUGCCGUGGACGUUUGAGACUUGAGAAGAGCUGCUCCUAGUACGAGAGGACCGGAGUGGACGAACCUCUGGUGUUCCGGUUGUCACGCCAGUGGCAUUGCCGGGUAGCUACGUUCGGACAGGAUAACCGCUGAAAGCAUCUAAGCGGGAAGCCCCCUUCAAGAUGAGGUCUCACUGAAGCCUUGAGCUUCCUAAAGGGCCCUUGAAGACUACAAGGUCGAUAGGCAGGGUGUGUAAGCGUUGUGAGGCGUUGAGCUAACCUGUACUAAUUGCCCGUGAGGCUUGACCAUAUAACACCAAAGCAGUU
rnacentral:rRNA from 1 species